CAUGUGUCACUUUAUACCAAUCAAAUUGAUUCUGCCCUUUUUCUAACCUUAGCGAAUAGCGAGUAAAUAUUGUAAGAAUUUGGGAUCUCCCUCAGGAGGAGCCUGUUUCAGACCUCGUCUUUGGCCUCCUGUUUCCCUUUGAUUAAGAAGUGGAACAGAUGAUUAGAGAGGCUGAUUUGGAUGGUGAAGGACAGGUUGACUAUGAUAAAUUUGUGAAAUUGAUGAUGACUAUUGGAGAGAGAUAUCUCUAAGUUUAAUUUCACUUCUAUUUUGUAUUUUGAUUACAGUGUUAUGCAAAAUACAGAAUCUCAUAGAUCCAAUAAGGUUUGACCAUGCAAUCAUACUUGAUCGGCGAACUGCACACUGUCAAAAACUUGCUGACGAAUUUGUGUUUUUCACUCAA